GGCUCCACGGUGGUGCAGUUGGUAGCACUAUUGCUUUGCAGGUAAAAGACCUUGCUUCAACUCCCAGCCUGGGGCCU